rnacentral:misc_RNA from 1 species
GCAAACUUGGUCAUUUAGAGGAAGUAAAAGUCGUAACAAGGUUUCCGUAGGUAAGUUGGAAAAAUAAACUCUACCACCUUUGCUUAAAUAACAUGCUAACUUUUCUCUUUUAGGUGAACCUGCGGAAGGAUCAUUACCGAGUGCGAACCCCCUCGUAAAAAGGGGGGUCACCUCCGGUCCUUUGCUAGACAACCCCCUCUGAUAAAGAGGGGGUUGUUUUCAGACCUUCUGCUUCGGCGGGGUUACCCGCCGGAACAACCUCAAAAAUUCUUAGUCAAACAGUUCAGUCCGAGGAACUUUUUUAAAAGCGAAAAACUUUCAACAACGGAUCUCUUGGUUCUGGCAUCGAUGAAGAACGCAGC